rnacentral:rRNA from 1 species
UUAAGAGCUUGCUCUUAUGAAGUUAGCGGCGGACGGGUGAGUAACACGUGGGUAACCUGCCCAUAAGACUGGGAUAACUCCGGGAAACCGGGGCUAAUACCGGAUAACAUUUUGAACCGCAUGGUUCGAAAUUGAAAGGCGGCUUCGGCUGUCACUUAUGGAUGGACCCGCGUCGCAUUAGCUAGUUGGUGAGGUAACGGCUCACCAAGGCAACGAUGCGUAGCCGACCUGAGAGGGUGAUCGGCCACACUGGGACUGAGACACGGCCCAGACUCCUACGGGAGGCAGCAGUAGGGAAUCUUCCGCAAUGGACGAAAGUCUGACGGAGCAACGCCGCGUGAGUGAUGAAGGCUUUCGGGUCGUAAAACUCUGUUGUUAGGGAAGAACAAGUGCUAGUUGAAUAAGCUGGCACCUUGACGGUACCUAACCAGAAAGCCACGGCUAACUACGUGCCAGCAGCCGCGGUAAUACGUAGGUGGCAAGCGUUAUCCGGAAUUAUUGGGCGUAAAGCGCGCGCAGGUGGUUUCUUA